GACGAACCGUGCAAACGUUAUUCGGAAUCACUGGGCUUAAAGCGCGUGUAGGCGGGACAGCACGUCGGUCGUUGAAAUCCCCCGGCUCAACCGGGGAAUGGGCGCCGAUACGACUGUCCUUGAGGAACGUAGGGGGACCUGGAACUUCCGGUGGAGCGGUGAAAUGCGUUGAGAUCGGAAGGAACGCCCGUGGCGAAAGCGAGGUCCUGGACGUUUUCUGACGCUGAGACGCGAAAGCCAGGGGAGCGAACGGG
rnacentral:rRNA from 1 species